AGUGAACGCUGGCGGUAGGCCUAACACAUGCAAGUCGAACGGCAGCACAGUAAGAGCUUGCUCUUACGGGUGGCGAGUGGCGGACGGGUGAGGAAUACAUCGGAAUCUACUUUUUCGUGGGGGAUAACGUAGGGAAACUUACGCUAAUACCGCAUACGACCUACGGGUGAAAGCAGGGGAUCUUCGGACCUUGCGCGAUUGAAUGAGCCGAUGUCGGAUUAGCUAGUUGGCGGGGUAAAGGCCCACCAAGGCGACGAUCCGUAGCUGGUCUGAGAGGAUGAUCAGCCACACUGGAACUGAGACACGGUCCAGACUCCUACGGGAGGCAGCAGUGGGGAAUAUUGGACAAUGGGCGCAAGCCUAAUCCAGCCAUACCGCGUGGGUGAAGAAGGCCUUCGGGUUGUAAAGCCCUUUUGUUGGGAAAGAAAAGCAGCAGGUUAAUACCCCGCUGUUCUGACGGUACCAAAAGAAUAAGCACCGGCUAACUUCGUG
rnacentral:rRNA from 1 species